AUACGGAGGGUCCAAGCGUUACCCGGAAUCAUUGGGUUUAAAGGGUCCGCAGGCGGUCAAUUAAGUCAGAGGUGAAAGCCCAUCGCUCAACGAUGGAACUGCCUUUGAUACUGGUUGACUUGAGUUAUACGGAAGUAGAUAGAAUAAGUAGUGUAGCGGUGAAAUGCAUAGAUAUUACUUAGAAUACCGAUUGCGAAGGCAGUCUACUACGUAUGUACUGACGCUGAGGGACGAAAGCGUGGGGAGCGAACAGGAUUAGAAACCCUAGUAGUCC
rnacentral:rRNA from 1 species